rnacentral:rRNA from 1 species
GAUGAGCGCUGGCGGCGCGCCUAACACAUGCAAGUCGAACGAUUAAAGCACCUUCGGGUGUGUAUAAAGUGGCGAACGGCUGAGUAACACGUGGGCAACCUGCCCCUUUCAUUGGGAUAGCCACGGGAAACCGUGGAUAAUACCGAAUACUUCGAGACUUCCGCAUGGAAGACUCGAGAAAGCUCCGGCGGAGAGGGAUGGGCCCGCGGCCUGUUAGCUUGUUGGUGGGGUAACGGCCUACCAAGGCAAUGAUGGGUAGCUGGGUUGAGAGACCGACCGGCCAGAUUGGGACUGAGACACGGCCCAGACUCCUACGGGAGGCAGCAGUGGGGAAUCUUGCACAAUGGGCGAAAGCCUGAUGCAGCGACGCCGCGUGCGGGAUGAAGGCCUUCGGGUUGUAAACCGCUUUCAGCAGGGACGAGGCGAAAGUGACGGUACCUGCAGAAGAAGCCCCGGCUAACUACGUG